ACGCUGGCGGCGUGCCUAACACAUGCAAGUCGAACGGGACUCUUUGGAUCAAGGCUUCGGCCAAGUGAAUUUGAGUUUAGUGGCGAACGGGUGAGUAAUGCAUGAGCAACCUGCCCUUCAGUGGGGGACAACAGUUGGAAACGACUGCUAAUACCGCAUAACAUUUUCGAGAGGCAUCUCUUGGAAAUCAAAGAUUUAUUGCUGAAGGAUGGGCUCAUGUCUGAUUAGCUAGUUGGUAGGGUAACGGCCUACCAAGGCGACGAUCAGUAGCCGGUCUGAGAGGAUGAACGGCCACAUUGGGACUGAGAUACGGCCCAGACUCCUACGGGAGGCAGCAGUGGGGAAUAUUGGGCAAUGGGCGAAAGCCUGACCCAGCAAUGCCGCGUGAAGGAAGAAGGCCUUCGGGUUGUAAACUUCUUUUACCGAGGACGAAGAAAUGACGGUACUCGGCGAAUAAGCUCCGGCUAACUACGUG
rnacentral:rRNA from 1 species